GUCUAUGGCCAUGCACCCUGAAUGUGCCUGAUCCUGUCUGAUCUCGGAAGCUAAGCGAGGUCGAACCUGGUUAGUACUUGGAUGGGAGACCACCUAGGAAUACCAGGUGCCAUAGGCA
rnacentral:rRNA from 1 species